CUCACUUCCUGAACCAUGUGUCUUCUCUGAGUUUGUAUAUACUCUCUGAUGUUUCCUGCACAUUGAAUCCCAAGUUUUAAAUUAAAGCAAAUCUUAGCCAGAUCGGGGUCUGAUCACUGAUAUGUGAGUAUGGUCCUUGGUGUUGACAUCCCAGGGGGCCCUCUUUUGUUCUCUUAGCAGAGCUCUGUGUUAUCAAGGGCCAAGCUUCUGUGUGUGGGCUAAGCUAGGGAGGGGUUGUAGGAUUGGGGAUGAAUCCACGUGGUCCUCAUACCUUAUGCCCACUUUUGGAAAGAGGGGGCUUGUAUGAAUUCACAUUGAUGACGUUCCCCAAGGAGACACUUCAGCUAAGGGGCACCCAGUCUGAGUGUUAGUGUGGUCCUGUCUCGAAGGUCUUCCUGCUUCCCCACAACAAGCAAUGAGCCUCUUACUGCUUGCUGGGCUCCUGCCUGCUGCCUUUCAGUGCUGAUCUCAACAGCUCUGCCCUCUGAUGCUGCACCAGGAUCUGGGGAGGUGGGAUAGGGAGGGGACUCUACUGAUUGCUAUGUGUUGCUUAACUUUAUUUCCCUUUCUUAUGUUUGAAGAGAGUAGGCCUGAAACAUGAUCUG
rnacentral:lncRNA from 1 species